GACGAGCGCUGGCGGCGUGCUUAACACAUGCAAGUCGAACGGUAAGGCCCUUCGGGGUACACGAGUGGCGAACGGGUGAGUAACACGUGGGUGAUCUGCCCUGCACUUCGGGAUAAGCCUGGGAAACUGGGUCUAAUACCGGAUAGGACUCCUGGCUUCAUGGUUGGGGGUGGAAAGCUUUUGCGGUGUGGGAUGGGCCCGCGGCCUAUCAGCUUGUUGGUGGGGUAAUGGCCUACCAAGGCGACGACGGGUAGCCGGCCGGGGAGGGUGACCGGUGACACUGGGACUGAGAUACGGCCCAGACGCCUACGGGAGGCAGCAGUGGGGAAUAUUGCACAAGGGGCGCAAGCCUGAUGCAGCGACGCCGCGUGAGGGAUGCCGGCCUUCGGGUUGUAAACCUCUUUCAGCUAUGGCGAAGCGCAAGUGACGGUAGUAGCAGAAGAAGGACCGGCCAACUACGUGCCAGCAGCCGCAGUAA
rnacentral:rRNA from 1 species